rnacentral:rRNA from 1 species
UACGUAGGGUGCGAGCGUUGUCCGGAAUUACUGGGCGUAGAGAGCUCGUAGGCGGCUUGUCGCGUUGUCCGUGAAAAUUUACCGCUCAACGGUGAACUUGCGGGCGAUACGGGCAGGCUAGAGUACUGCAGGGGAGACUGGAAUUCCUGGUGUAGCGGUGAAAUGCGCAGAUAUCAGGAGGAACACCGGUGGCGAAGGCGGGUCUCUGGGCAACAACUGACGCUGAGGAGCGAAAGCGUGGGGAGCGAACAGG